UGCAAUCUAUGAUGUAAACUAUAUCUCAAUUCUGAUUUUGAAGUGAUUAUUGCACAAAAUAUUCACCAUCUUUCGGCUGAGAUUGCA